GGUAUAAAUAGAGCACAAAGGAGAAGAAUAAAUUACUUUCAAGUGGUAGCAUACUAAAUACUAAAUUAUGGCUUUCAAAGUAAUGGCUUUUCUUCUUAUCUUCAUGGUGAUGGGAAUCUGUGUCUCACCAAAGGCAAAAGCAAAGGACUUUAAUUUUUGUUGUUGCAAAACAAAUGAAGAUUGUAGAGACCGUUGUGGUGUUCCUAAAUACCAUUGUAAUAUUGGACUUUGCUUCUGUAAUUGGGCUCCACAUUCCCAAAAUGAAAUUGCUGAAAUUGAUGAAGGCAUAAAUUGAGGAAUUGUAAAUUUCAUGGGCCCAAAAUAGAAAGCAACAAUAAGAUUUGAAUUAUUUCAAUUAAAUAUAUAACUAGUAGUGUUGCUUGUUCUAUGCAACUUAUAAAAAGGCAUUAGCCAAAUAAUAAAGCUUUCUAUUUUUUCCUUUC